rnacentral:rRNA from 1 species
GACGAACGCUGGCGGCGUGCCUAAUACAUGCAAGUCGAGCGGACUUUCAAGAAGCUUGCUUUUUGAAAGUUAGCGGCGGACGGGUGAGUAACACGUGGGCAACCUGCCUGCAAGACGGGGAUAACUCCGGGAAACCGGGGCUAAUACCGGAUAAUAUCUUCCUUCGCAUGAAGGAAGGUUGAAAGGCGGCGCAAGCUGCCGCUUGCAGAUGGGCCCGCGGCGCAUUAGCUAGUUGGUGAGGUAACGGCUCACCAAGGCGACGAUGCGUAGCCGACCUGAGAGGGUGAUCGGCCACAAUGGGACUGAGACACGGCCCAGACUCCUACGGGAGGCAGCAGUAGGGAAUCUUCCGCAAUGGACGAAAGUCUGACGGAGCAACGCCGCGUGAGCGAAGAAGGUCUUCGGAUCGUAAAGCUCUGUUGUCAGGGAAGAACAAGUACCGUUCGAACAGGGCGGUACCUUGACGGUACCUGACCAGAAAGCCACGGCUAACUACGUG